AGAAGUCAGAAAAAGCUUUAUUAGCAAGUAUGUUUACACACACAAGGAAUUUGACAGGAGCUUCCAGUGCAGAAAAAAAGUACGGACAUAGUGCAAACAUACAUAAUAGUACAGACAUACACAGGAAAUACACAAUACAGAUGGAAUAUAACACUAAUAUAAGAAAAACACAUAAGAAUAUUAAAAAAAAAACAUUUACCAUAUACAAACAAAUCAAGCAAUCAUUAAAAUAUUAUAGUAGUUCCCUUUAUGCGUAGUCAGUCAUGCCUAACUCUAACCAGGUCACGGCAUGCAGGCAGAAUUUCAAUCAUUCAUUCAUUACAAAGGAAAACCUAAAAUCCAGUAGUGAUUUUGGUGGUGGAACAAACUGUUCCCCCUCAGAAUAAUUCUCAGACAGCUUGUCUAUAUCCUUAAUAAAGUCAGAAUAAAGUCUGCUUUUGGGUUCAUUUUUUAAAUAACACCUCAGCUCAAAGUAUCUGCUGUUGGUUGAUUCCAGUACAUACACUGUUAGACAUUUCUGUAUUUUCUACAGUUAUUAACUGUAUAUCAUCCAGUAUAAUACUGCAAAUCCCCUUUGUAGUAAAUAACUGUCUCUGUCCACAUAUAGAGACUUACUGUAUUUUUUAAAUAUGCUGUAUACUACUGCAUUAGCUGUAACGACCUCUUUGGCGGCAUUCUAUUGGGGUUGCUUCAUUUUCCUCAUUCAUUAAAUCUGGAUUGUCACUACACCGAUCUGAUUUGCUCUACACCUUGUCUACAACACCUUAGGUUGGACUACACUGGAUGUGUUGCAUCGCUUGUAAUGAUUGGAAAAUGUUUGUCCUUCAUGUCAGACAUGUCAGACACAGCACGAGCACUUGGAGUACAUCUGUAUGUCAGAAAUAUACUGGGGCAUCACUUUACUGUCCGCAUCCACUGUAGAUAGUAUAAUGGGUUCUAUAUUGUCUUUUGCCGAGUCGCGCUGCGCCGUGCCACUCGUGUUCGAGGAAGACAAGGAAGCAGUGGGGCAGUGCCGGGAGUUUUGCCCUGGGGAUGAACCCGUGAGAGUGAAAGAGUUCCAGAGAACAUCUACGCUGUGCGGCUAUGCACCUUAUGAGACAAUAAGACCAGCAAGUAAGGCAACUGCAGUGAAGCUUCAAGAAAGACAUGAGCAUGCCAACCACCCUGAGACUGAUUCAUGAUUUACAGUUCAUAAGAAGACAUUUCUGCCACUAACAAUGUGGGUGGUGAGCAAAGGUGGUGGCCAUGUUUUUGGAGCAGCACCUGGGUUUUGCAGAUGGC